GCUACGUGUGUUAAAGAACUUCUCUUCAUUAAAAGCCAUUGUCUCAGGUUUACAAUCUAAUUCUGUCUUCCGUUUGAAGCGGGUGUGGUCCAUGCUGCCCAAGGAAGUCUUUGCAUUGUUUGAAGAAUUAUCCAGUAUAUUUUCAGAAGAAAACAAUCAAAUGGCCCACCGUGAGCUGCUCAACAAGGAAGGAACAGCCAAAUAUGCAGCCACCGACACGUGGGGGAGGAACUGGAAGCGGCGGACAGGGCAUUCUCACAAAAGGAAGGCGAAGUCUGUG